rnacentral:misc_RNA from 1 species
CGGUUCGAGUCCGCUUACCUCCACUGAUCUAAUCCUCUAACCGUACUAUCUAUUGGAGAUUUCUUGUUUGAUGUGAUCUUGGAUUUUGUCCGCUGAACGACCCUAGCUUCCUCUCAUUCCAAAUCUAAAUUUAGUUUAGGUUGAUAGGACGCUAGGCUCACUGCUGAUCUUUAAAGAUUGGCGGAGAUGUUUAGCA